UCGUGAGUGUAAGCGUUAUAUAACAAAGGGCUAAGAACAGAGCCUUGUGGAAGUCCUUUCCAACAAGUGCGACUAAACGUGGAGCCAUCCUGUGAAAGUUCUAGACACCUUUCAUAUAAGAUGUUAAUGAUAAAGUUACUAAGCAUUGUGGGAACUUUUAAGGCGUAGAGUUUUUUAAGCAAUAUUGGGAUUAUCACGUUAUCAUAAGCGGAAUUUAUAUCUAAAAAAGUUGCAACAACUGACUGGUUAUCAGAGAAUGCAAGCCUAAUAUCAGUGAUAAAUAAACUAAUAUUGUCCAUAGUACUUUUUCCCUUUCUGAAUCCAAACUGGUUAACAGCCAGUAAAUCAUUACUCUCAAAAAACCAUUCAAGCCGAUUCUUUACCAGAUGUUCAGCUAAUUUCAAUAAUACUGAGGACAGAACUAUUGGACGGUAUGAAGAUGGGUCAGAUGGGGACUUAUUUGGUUUAAGAACUGGCAACACUUUUUGGGACUUCCAUGACAGAGGGACACUAUUACCUGUCAACGCAAUAGAAUUGAUAAUUUGUAAAUAAUAGGAGAGAACAUGAUCAUUUAAAUUAUGAAAGAAGGAGUACGGAAUACCAUCUACACCUGGAGACGAAUCAGUUACAUUUUGGAUGAUUCCCUUGAGUUCAAACAGUGUAAAUGGCUGUUCAAUAACAGACACAGCGACUGGCGAUGGAGUUAUAAUUAGUUUUUCAGGGACCCAUGGAGGAGCCAGUUUAUCAACAAAUGGACAAGCAAUUUCUAACGGGAUAAAUGGGUGGGAAGAAUCUGUCAUUGCAGAUUUAAAUCGACGAAUGUUUUGCCAUACUAUCGAAGAUGGCGUUUCAGGGGAAAUUGAUAAGCAAAACUUUCUCCAGCUCUCAAACUUUUUCUUUUUAAAAAGUUCUCGAGUUUCUUCAAUAACUUUACCCAAUUCUGAAUAAUUUUCAUUUGUCAUAUUUGCUUUAUAGUUGCGCUCAGCAGCCUUUCUUUUUUUGAUGGCCUCUGUACAGUCACUGUCCCACCAUGGUUGUGGGGGAAGCUUACGAUUAGGUACUUUUAACGGAAAAGCUCUGUUCGCAGAUUCAACUAAUAUAUUGGUAAAGGACAAGGCACAAGUGGAUUCAUUUCCUGAAGAGACAAUUGGGAGAGACGAUAGAUAGUUCUCAACACCUUCUUUAAAAGUAUUCCAAGCAUUACUAGUUUUGUCUGGUAAUCUGUGUUUAAGUAAUGGAACAUACUUAGAUGUUAUAGGACUAUUAAAUGGAAAAGUAAUUAAUAUGGGGAAGUGGUCACUGCCAUAUGAUGAAGGUAGAGUUUGCCAAGAUAACAGAGAGGCUAGGCUAGGGGAACAUAUUGACAAAUCAACAGCACUUUGACUUUGGCCUGGACUGGUAAAACGGGUAGGAGAUCCUGUAUUUAAUGUACAUAAGUUAUGAGUGUCAAUUAUAUCUAAUAACAUUUCCCCAUAGUUAUUUGAAAUAGAACUGCCCCAUGCACGAUGAUGACAGUUAAAAUCUCCUAAGAUGAUCAGAGGUUUAGGGAGAGUUGAGAUUAAUUGAUCAAUUUCACUUAAGAUAGAAGAAGAGGGGUGAGGUAUGUACAUAGACACUAAACAAAAAUUAUAAAUAUUUAUUGCUAUAAUAGAAAAUUCGUUACUAUGAUUAGGGAUUGGAAUUGGACUAAAAGAGACAGAUUUGUUGAUAAAUAUGGCUACUCCACCAUAUCCAUCAAUUCUGUCUUCCCUGAUAGAAUUAUAACCAUUAACUUUAAAUUUUUGAUUGGGUUUAAGCCAAGUUUCUGCCAGAGCAAAAACAAAAGGCUCAAUCUUAUUAAUCAUAUGAAAAAAGUCACUCUUUUUGCUGAUGAUACUCCGGCAGUUCCAUUGCAUUGCCUUCGCAGCCAUUUUGCAGGAAUCUAAUUAGACUUUCAAUUAAAGGGGCAACGUUGGACGGUGAUUUGAGAUUACACUGAGAAAAAACAUUAAUCAAAGUCAUUAUAAGGCUAGAUAAAUUUGUUGUUGAGUCUUCUUUAGGUUGGUUAUUGAUAGCACAUCCAUCCCUUGGGGAAGGGAAAGAGUAGUCACGGAUUAAAUUAUUAUGGGCUACCUUAUCAUAGCCUUUUGAAUGUGAAGGAGAGGGACGGGGUGGAAGGAAGACAGUCUUUUUGACUAGAGGACAGAGCGUCUGCGUAGGACUUGGAGACUGGAGGGUGGAGCUUGGAUGCCUCUGCAUACGAGAUGGAAUUUUCAGCCAUAUAAGCCUUGAUUUUCUUUUGGCGGACAAAUUCUGGGCAUGACUUACUAGUUGCAUAGUGGAAACCAGAACAAAGACAGCAGGAGGCUUGGUCUUCAUGGAUGGAGCAAGAAUCACCAAUGUGGGCUUGCCCACAUUUAAAACAGCGGGGCUGGGACCUACAUUGGGCCUUAGUAUGACCAAAUCGGCAACAAUUAAAACAUUGAAUUGUAGGGAAAAUGUACAAUUCCACUGACAAAGCAUUAUAGCAUACAAAAACUCGUUUAGGUAAAGAUUGUCCGUCAAAUGUUACUACGACUGAUUGGGAGGGUUUCCAAGAAACUGUACCAUUAAUAUAAGUCUUAAAAUUCAA